GAUGAACGCUGGCGGCGUGCCUAACACAUGCAAGUCGAACGGAGAUUCCGGACGGAAGUUUUCGGAUGGAAGCCUGUAAUUCUUAGUGGCGGACGGGUGAGUAACGCGUGGGCAACCUGCCCUAUACAGGGGGAUAGCAGCUGGAAACGGCUGGUAAGACCGCAUAAGUCGGUUAAAUCGCAUGAUUUGAUCGGGAAAUGAGCAAUCAGGUAUAGGAUGGGCCCGCGUCCGAUUAGCCAGUUGGCAGGGUAAAAGCCUACCAAAGCGACGAUCGGUAGCCGGACUGAGAGGUCGGACGGCCACAUUUGGACUGGGACACGGCCCAAACUCCUACGGGAGGCAGCAGUGGGGGAUAUUGCACAAUGGAGGAAACUCUGAUGCAGCGACGCCGCGUGAGUGAAGAAGUAUUUCGGUAUGUAAAGCUCUAUCAGCAGGGAAGAUGAUGACGGUACCUGACGAAGAAGCCCCGGCUAACUACGUG
rnacentral:rRNA from 1 species